AACGAACGCUGGCGGCAGGCUUAACACAUGCAAGUCGAGCGGGCCCGCAAGGGUCAGCGGCGGACGGGUUAGUAACGCGUGGGAACGUGCCUUUUGCUUCGGAAUAGCCCUGGGAAACUGGGGGUAAUACCGGAUGUGCCCUGAGGGGGAAAGAGUUAUCGGCAAGAGAUCGGCCCGAGUUGGAUUAGGUAGUUGGUGGGGUAACGGCCCACCAAGCCGACGAUCCAUAGCUGGUUUGAGAGGAUGAUCAGCAACACUGGGACUGAGACACGGCCCAGACUCCUACGGGAGGCAGCAGUGGGGAAUCUUAGACAAUGGGCGCAAGCCUGAUCUAGCCAUGCCGCGUGGGUGAUGAAGGCCUUAGGGUCGUAAAGCCCUUUCGCCGGGGAAGAUAAUGACGGUACCCGGUAAAGAAACCCCGGCUAACUCCGUGCCAGCCGCCGCCGUAA
rnacentral:rRNA from 1 species